UCAAGACAGCUGGAUUUUCAGUUCCUCCUCAUUGUGGAUUAUUCUAGAGAAAUCCAGAAAGGGAAAACAUGGCGCGGUGCCUCAAAGGCUCUGUUUCCGUUGACGGCGACGAACCUUUCCUGCCGCAGUAACAGCUGCAAAGCGAGAGGAGAAAUACCGAGUCGAGAUCUAAAUCUCUUCGAGGGUUUCCUCCUUUGUUCCAUUGAUUUAUUGUGAUUUUUUGGGAGUUCUGCUGGCCGCGGUUCGAAUUGGCGUGGUGAUUUGUAGCGGAUGGAGAUGGCUGGGUUCGCUUCGAGGAAGGCGAAGAGGAAAGAUCUGGAAGAGUUUUACGACGAAGAGAUGGGUCACCCGCUGUCACGUCCUGCUACGAAGAUUAGGAGACUGGAUGCUGACAUGCUCUCUGUGAUGGAAGAGAAUGAUACAAUCACUGUGUCCAGACUUCCCUAUCUGCUGCCAAAGGAACAAUUGCAAGACAUGGAAGUUGUUCCAACCCAUAACGUGGCAACAUAUCAUCCAAACGAGGAGAGAUCCUUAGUUAUAUAUAACACUCCUGAAGCCUUACCAGUUGUACCCGCUGAUGAGCCAAUGGUUUCUUUUAGAAUGAGCUCAAAUUUGAUUCAUGGAAUCAAAAGUAAGUGCUCACAGACCAAAUUGUGAAUAGACAGUAACGAGUUCUCUAAUCCUUUAUCAGGUACAAUAAUUGGAAUAUUUUUUCCAUUGAUCCGAUAUUCUCCAGCUGAUUUGUUUUGAUGUCAAUGUGCAUCAUCUCACAGAAACUCUUGGUGUUAAGUGAGUAUUCAAUCAAUAGGGUUAUCAGAUAAGUUUCACAAAAAGAUUGAAUAUCAGACAGUAGGUUCACCGAUCUAGUAUCAUUGGCUGGUAUAUGGUUCCAACUUCCAAGUGCUAUCUCUUUUAGUUGGACAGCUGGCACAGAUAAAUUGCUCGUGCUGACAUAAUUUCAAUGGCAUUAAUUGACAUAGACAAAUUGUUCAAGCUUCGGGAUCAAACUGUCUUCAACAUGGACGACAAGGUAGCUGCAUCCAAUGACUCCCUAGCAUUGGUUCCUUGGGUGCCACAGCAGGAAUCUCUCAAUUCUUACGAGUUCAUUGCCACUCAAUUCAGUGAUCCACAACAUGACCCAAUGGACUCCGAACAAGCUGAGGCAGUUCUCAUGGAAGUCGAAGAAAACAAAGAGCAACCAGGAACUCAUGAAUUUGAAGCAAAUGACCUCUAGUAAUGCAAGCAUCAUUGUAUGACUUCUAAGCACUUGCCUAAUACACCAAAUCCUAUAAUAUGGUAACCUUGAAGAGGAACCGAGGCUCUCAUGGUAGUGGGAGAAAGCAAGGACCAAGCCAGAAGCAAUGAAUUGGAAGUGCGGAGGAGCUCCAGCAAUGGCAGCAACAUUGCAUGGCUCAUCAAUACUUAGUAAAAAAACAUACCUAACCCUAUAAGGUGGUAAUACACUGAUGAAAAAUGGAGGUAUCGAUUAGUUUUCCUUCUGGUUGAAUGUUAAUGCAUCGAUCUCAAACCUCUAAAGUCUAAAGAGGAUGGUGUUUGUAAAGUUUACUACAAGAAUAGCAAGAACACACGUCUGACUUCACUAGAUUACUAAUUUCACUUCAAUUGAUUAGUAUGCGACA